rnacentral:rRNA from 3 species
UCUCCUGGAAAACGGGUGGUAAUGCCGGAUGCUCCAGUUGAUCGCAUGGUCUUCUGGGAAAGCUUUCGCGGUAUGGGAUGGGGUCGCGUCCUAUCAGCUUGACGGCGGGGUAACGGCCCACCGUGGCUUCGACGGGUAGCCGGCCUGAGAGGGCGACCGGCCACAUUGGGACUGAGAUACGGCCCAGACUCCUACGGGAGGCAGCAGUGGGGAAUAUUGCACAAUGGGCGCAAGCCUGAUGCAGCGACGCCGCGUGAGGGAUGGAGGCCUUCGGGUUGUAAACCUCUUUUAUCGGGGAGCAAGCGAGAGUGAGUUUACCCGUUGAAUAAGCACCGGCUAACUACGUGCCAGCAGCCGCGGUAAUACGUAGGGUGCAAGCGUUAUCCGGAAUUAUUGGGCGUAAAGGGCUCGUAGGCGGUUCGUCGCGUCCGGUGUGAAAGUCCAUCGCUUAACGGUGGAUCCGCGCCGGGUACGGGCGGGCUUGAGUGCGGUAGGGGAGACUGGAAUUCCCGGUGUAACGGUGGAAUGUGUAGAUAUCGGAAAGAACACCA